rnacentral:rRNA from 1 species
CCUACGGGCGGCAGCAGUGAGGAAUAUUGGUCAAUGGGCGCGAGCCUGAACCAGCCAAGUAGCGUGAAGGAUGACUGCCCUACGGGUUGUAAACUUCUUUUAUAAAGGAAUAAAGUGAGGCACGUGUGCCUUUCUGUAUGUACUUUAUGAAUAAGGAUCGGCUAACUCCGUGCCAGCAGCCGCGGUAAUACGGAGGAUCCGAGCGUUAUCCGGAUUUAUUGGGUUUAAAGGGUGCGUAGAUGGGGUGUUAAGUCAGUGGUGAAAGUUUGAGGCUCAACCGUAAAAUUGCCAUUGAUACUGGUAGUCUUGAGUGCAGUUGAGGUAGGCGGAAUGCGUGGUGUAGCGGUGAAAUGCUUAGAUAUCACGCAGAACUCCGAUUGCGAAGGCAGCUUACUAAACUGCCACUGACGUUGAUGCACGAAAGUGUGGGUAUCAAACAGGAUUAGAUACCCGAGUAGUC